UCUCCAUGAAGUCGGAAUCGCUAGUAAUCGUAGAUCAGAAUGCUACGGUGAAUACGUUCCCGGGCCUUGUACACACCGCCCGUCACACCAUGGGAGUGGGUUGCAAAAGAAGUAGGUAGCUUAACCUUCGGGAGGGCGCUUACCACUUUGUGAUUCAUGACUGGGGUGAAGUCGUAACAAGGUAACCGUAGGGGAACCUGCGGUUGGAUCACCUCCUUA
rnacentral:rRNA from 1 species